rnacentral:rRNA from 1 species
AUGAAAGCAACAUAUCAGAGGGUUAAAAACAUAUUUUAUUGGCCUGGAAUGAAAAAAGAAAUAGAAGAUUUCGUGGCAAUUUGCCCUGUGUGUCAGAAAAACAAAGGGGAACACUGUCACUACCCUGGGUUGUUGGAUCCCUUGCACAUACCUGACAUGGCAUGGACACAUUUGAGUAUGGAUUUUGUGGAGGGACUCCCUAAAUCCAAUGGCAAAGAAAUUAUUUUUGUCAUAGUUGAUAGGCUGACUAAAUUUGCUCAUUUCAUUGCCAUGUCUCACCCUUACACAGUCCAGUCGGUGGCUACUGCAUUUAUAGAUAAUGUGAUCAGAUUGCAUGGACCUCCUAUAGCCAUUGUGUCAGACAGAGAUAAAAAUUUUACAAGUCACUUGUGGAAGGAAAUCUUUGCUGCAAUGAAAAUAGAACUCAGAUACAGUUCUGCUUAUCAUCCUCAGUCUGAUGGACAGACAGAACGUGUAAAUCAAUGCAUUGAAAAUUAUUUAAGAUGCAUGGCAUCGGCAGAGCCAAAAAAGUGGGUAUAUCAUCUUCCAAUGGCUGAGUACUGGUACAAUACUUCCUUCCAUUCUUCUCUGCAGAAAACUCCUUUUCAAGCAUUAUAUGGGUAUGAUCCUCCCAAUAUCAGUGAGUUCUCUUUACCUGGAUCUCUAGAAGUUGGCCCUGCUGGCCCUACAGUGGAUAGGCAAGCUCUCAUGGGACAGCUCAGACAGAAUUUGCAAGCAGCUCAGGCUCGAAUGGUCAAGUUUGCAGAUAAGAAGAGAACUGAACGAGUACUAGCUCCUGGAGAUAUGGUUUAUCUGAAACUGCAACCCUACAGGCUCAAUGCUUUCGGUAUCCGACACCAUAUCAAGCUGCAAAGCAAGUAUUAUGGACCCUUUCGAGUGUUGAGCAAAGUUGGUAAUGUGGCUUAUAAGCUGUUCUUGCCAGCAGAUUCCCAAAUCCAUCCGGUAUUCCACAUUAGUCAACUUAAAAAGCAUAUUGGCCCAACAGCAGUUCCUUGCGCGGAUCUACCCUUAAUUGGACCAAAUGGACAGAUAAGGACUGAACCAGUACUUGUCUUGGAAAUUCGUCAAAUACCACGGAACAAUGUUGCUGUGGUGCAGUGGCUCGUUCAGUGGGAGAACUUACCACCUGAAGAUGCUUCCUGGGAAGAUGCUGAUUUUAUCAAACACACAUUUCCGAGAUUCUUCAAGCAAACGGUGGAGAGCUGGCGGAAGCACGGCCCACCUUGA